rnacentral:rRNA from 1 species
UACGUAGGGUGCGAGCGUUGUCCGGAAUUAUUGGGCGUAAAGGGCUCGUAGGCGGUCUGUCGCGUCGGGAGUGAAAACUCAGGGCUUAACCCUGAGCCUGCUUCCGAUACGGGCAGACUAGAGGUAUGCAGGGGAGAAUGGAAUUCCUGGUGUAGCGGUGAAAUGCGCAGAUAUCAGGAGGAACACCGGUGGCGAAGGCGGUUCUCUGGGCAUUACCUGACGCUGAGGAGCGAAAGUGUGGGGAGCGGAC